GACGAACGCUGGCGGCGUGCUUAACACAUGCAAGUCGAGCGGUAAGGCCCUUUCGGGGGUACGACGAGCGGCGAACGGGUGAGUAACACGUGGGUGACCUGCCCUCAGCUCUGGGAUAAGCCUGGGAAACCGGGUCUAAUACUGGAUAUGACUCCAUUACGCAUGUUGUGGGGUGGAAAGCCUUGUGCGGCUGAGGAUGGGCCCGCGGCCUAUCAGCUUGUUGGUGGGGUGAUGGCCUACCAAGGCGACGACGGGUAGCCGGCCUGAGAGGGCGACCGGCCACACUGGGACUGAGACACGGCCCAGACUCCUACGGGAGGCAGCAGUGGGGAAUCUUGCGCAAUGGGCGAAAGCCUGACGCAGCGACGCCGCGUGA
rnacentral:rRNA from 1 species